GGCGAGAUGGCCGAGUGGUCUAAGGCGCUACGUUUAGGCUCAUUAUAGGUCUUCCGUAGUCCGCAAGGGCGUGGGUUCGAACCCCACUCUCGUCA
rnacentral:tRNA from 2 species